ACACCAGACUCCUACGGGAGGCAGCAGUGGGGGAUAUUGCACAAUGGGGGAAACCCUGAUGCAGCGACGCCGCGUGGGCGAAGAAGUAUUUCGGUAUGUAAAGCCCUAUCAGCAGGGAAGAAGAAAUGACGGUACCUGAGUAAGAAGCACCGGCUAAAUACAUGCCAGCAGCCGCGGUAAUACGUAUGGUGCAAGCGUUAUCCGGAUUUACUGGGUGUAAAGGGAGCGCAGGCGGCACGGCAAGCCUGAUGUGAAAGCCCGCGGCCCAACCGCGGGACUGCAUUGGGAACUACCGGGCUGGAGUGCCGGAGAGGUAGGCGGAAUUCCUAGUGUAGCGGUGAAAUGCGUAGAUAUUAGGAGGAACACCAGUGGCGAAGGCGGCCUGCUGGACUGCAACUGACGUUGAGGCCCGAAAGCGUGGGGAGCAAACAGGAUUAGAUACCCCUGUA
rnacentral:rRNA from 1 species